AGUGAACGCUGGCGGUAGGCCUAACACAUGCAAGUCGAACGGCAGCACAGUAAGAGCUUGCUCUUACGGGUGGCGAGUGGCGGACGGGUGAGGAAUACAUCGGAAUCUACUUUUUCGUGGGGGAUAACGUAGGGAAACUAACGCUAAUACCGCAUACGACCUACGGGUGAAAGCAGGGGAUCUUCGGACCUUGCGCGAUUGAAUGAGCCGAUGUGGGAUUAGCUAGUUGGCGGGGUAACGGCUCACCAAGGCGACGAUCCGUAGCUGGUCUGAGAGGAUGACGAGCCACACUGGAACUGAGACACGGUCCAGACUCCUACGGGAGGCAGCAGUGGGGAAUAUUGCACAAUGGGCGCAAGCCUGAUGCAGCCAUGCCGCGUGUAUGAAGAAGGCCUUCGGGUUGUAAAGUACUUUCAGCGGGGAGGAAGGGAGUAACGUUAAUACCUUUGCUCAUUGACGUUAACCGAAGAAGAAGCACCGGCUAACUCCGUG
rnacentral:rRNA from 1 species